AGAUCAUGAACUAAAAAAAUAUUGAAGCCAACUUACUAGGUCUGCGUCGCGGUUGUGGUGUGGAACUCAUGGUGUCAGUUUACCAUUGUCGCAGAGAUCAAUGCAAAUAUUUCAUAUUGUAGUUUAUUUACGGCAAGAGAGGUUUUGGAAAUUAUAUCAUUUUGAAAUAAAAUUGUAUUUUUUUGUUAGUCUUUACGGCUGAUGUUCAUUUUGAUUAUAAUCCGUCAUAAAACUGUUGCGAUUUAUAUUCUCUUUGCCGUCAUACAAUCCACUAACGAGUCCAGAAUUUAUUCCAAGGAUUUCUAUGAUCAAAAAUUUUCGUUCAAAGCUCGGGACUCUUGUAAUUUAUAGAAUCUAUACUAUAAUAAAUGUUCGUAAUUUAAUCUUAAGUUUUAAAAUAUUACCAAAUUCAAAAUUCAGUUCAAUUUCUGUUACUCAUUAAGAGAUCACAAGAUAUUAAAAAAAACACUAUUUUGUCAAAUGAAAUCCUUCCCUUAAAUGAAACCUAUAGUAUAGGUUUAAAACGCUGGCUUCUUUUUCUUUUUAAAAAGUAGGUGUGGCUUCUGCCAUGUUGCCUUCUUUCAAGUUGGCAAUUCUUACUUUCAUCUUGACUUUGACACGAUUUUACUUCUAUUUUCUUUGAACUUGACAACAUCCAUCCAAUGUAACUUGAAUCAAAAACAACAAAAAUAAUGUGUAUCUUAAAAAUUAUGGGAAAAAAUGAUAUGUUCACUUAAUAUUCUCAUUUGUUAAAGGGCGUGUACCUAGACAAAUUGAGAGUUGAGGAGGUUCUAUUAUGAGCCAGAGAAGACCAGCGGCUGCGGCUGGCGGUGGUGGAGGGGGUCGGGGCGGCGGUGAGACCAGUCUGGUCCCCAUCUUAGGGGGCCUGAUAAUAGGAACUGGUUUGCUGUAUUUCGCUUAUAGGAUGUUAACACCGAAAAAAAAGAAAAAGGCAUAUAACCCAUUGAUAGACGCAAAUGGUCCGCCACCCAGCGGCUGCGUUGUUAUGAAGUCAUGUGAUUGUAACCUAGAUUGAACACACGCCUCUCGUCUCGUUCAGCUAAAGAGUUAGUUGAUAAUUAACCUUGUUUCAAUUGAUGAUUAAUGUUGCCAAUGCAAUUGUCUAACGGCUCGUUGUAAAGGAAGACCUAAACGGGUCCUGUCUUUUGUUAUUGUCAUUGUCCCCAAGAAACAUUUUAGAAUUAAAUUAUAACCGAAACUGUG